AUUGAACGCUGGCGGCAUGCCUUACACAUGCAAGUCGAACGGCAGCACGGGGCAACCUGGUGGCGAGUGGCGAACGGGUGAGUAAUGCAUCGGAACGUACCUUUCAGUGGGGGAUAACGUAGCGAAAGUUACGCUAAUACCGCAUAUUCUGUGAGCAGGAAAGCAGGGGAUCGCAAGACCUUGCGCUGAUUGAGCGGCCGAUGUAAGCUUAGCUAGUUGGUGGGGUAAAGGCUCACCAAGGCGACGAUCUGUAGCGGGUCUGAGAGGAUGAUCCGCCACACUGGAACUGAGACACGGUCCAGACUCCUACGGGAGGCAGCAGUGGGGAAUUUUGGACAAUGGGGGCAACCCUGAUCCAGCCAUGCCGCGUGAGUGAAGAAGGCCUUCGGGUUGUAAAGCUCUUUCGGCCGGGAAGAAAUCGCACGGGCUAAUACCCUGUGUGGAUGACGGUACCGGAAUAAGAAGCACCGGCUAACUACGUGCCAGCCGCCGCUGUAAGAC
rnacentral:rRNA from 1 species